rnacentral:rRNA from 1 species
CAAGUCGAGCGAAGUGUCAGCUGUAGCAAUACAGUAUGUGCUUAGCGGCAGACGGGUGAGUAACACGUAGACAACCUUCCUUCCAGAGGGGGAUAGCUCGCCGAAAGGCGAGGUAAUACCGCGUAAGAUCACGAGCCGGCAUCGGUUUGUGAUGAAACAUCCACAAGGAUGGCUGGGAGACGGGUCUGCGGCCUAUCAGCUAGUUGGUGAGGUAACGGCUCACCAAGGCAACGACGGGUAUCCGGCCUGAAAGGGCGAACGGACACACUGACACUGAGACACGGGUCAGACUCCUACGGGAGGCAGCAGUGAGGAAUCUUGGACAAUAGGGGCAACCCUGAUCCAGCGACGCCGCGUGAAGGAUGAAGGUCUUCGGAUUGUAAACUUCUUUUGUUUGGGAAUAAAAAAUCCAUAGAAAUAUGGAGCUUGAAUGUACCAAGCGAAUAAGCCACGGCUAACUUCGUGCCAGCAGCCGCGGUAAUACGAAGGUGGCAAGCGUUACUCGGAAUUACUAGGCGUAAAGGGCAGGUAGGUGGUCUGAUAAGUCUGUUGUGAAAGCUCCCGGCUUAACUGGGAGAGGUCAACAGAUACUGUCAGGCUUGAGUAUAGGAGAGGGUACUGGAAUUCCCGGUGUAGCGGUGAAAUGCGCAGAUAUCGGGAGGAACACCAAUGGCGAAAGCAGGUACCUGGACUAUUACUGACACUCAGCUGCGAAAGCUAGGGGAGCAAACAGGAUUAGAUACCCUGGUAGUCCUAGCUGUAAACGAUGCACAUUAGGCGUGAGGGGUAUCGACCCCCUUCGUGCCGACGCAAACGCAUUAAAUGUGCCGCCUGGGGAGUACGGCCGCAAGGUUGAAACUCAAAGGAAUUGACGGGGGCCCGCACAAGCGGUGGA